UAUGGCACUGGUAGAAUUCACUGCCAAGCCAGUGGUUCAACAAGCGCCGUAAG
rnacentral:pre_miRNA from 1 species